rnacentral:rRNA from 1 species
CACGUAGGCACCAAGCGUUGUCCGGAUUUAUUGGGCGUAAAGAGCGUGUAGGCGGCCAAGUAGGUCCGGUGUGAAAACUCGAGGCUUAACCUCGAGAUGUCAUCGGAAACCAUUUGGCUAGAGUCCGGAAGAGGAAAGUGGAAUUCCUGGUGUAGCGGUGAAAUGCGCAGAUAUCAGGAAGAACACCAAUGGCGAAGGCAGCUGCCUGGCCUAACACUGACCGCUGAGGUGACGAAAGCGUGGGUAGCAAACAGG